UCCCUCUUAAUUUUUCGUCUCCAUCCCUAGAAUUUCCAUCCAGUUAGAGCCACUUCAAGCUGCAUCAGAAAUAAUCCAACGAAACAUGUUUUUCUGAGAGUUGUCAUCUUUUUAGUUAUAACAUCUGUUAUUUUUGUCGCCGGUCUCUUAAAUACGGUACUGUGCCCAUUAAAGUAUGAAGUACACGUGAAUUUAGUUGGCAAUGUUUCUACUGAGUAUCAAAGUCAUGCUACACUAUGUAGUCUAUAUCAGUACCAUCAGUUUACGGCAGUGCUUUCUUUGACCGUGGUAUCUGUUUUUCUAAGGGUCAACUUCCUAUUGAAACUCGUGUCCAUGGUUAGUGGGUUAACAGCGUUUGCAGUCGUCUUUGUGUUCGUUAGAUCUGAUUUAUUUGGUAAACCUUUGGAACAAGAUUAUGGAUUGACUGAGAUACCCCUCUACCUCCAUAUCAACAUAUUUUUGGUGUUCUUCCUCGUUCUUUUACAUGUAUUAGAUCGG